GCGUCCGUAGCUCAGUUGGUUAGAGCACCACCUUGACAUGGUGGGGGUCGGUGGUUCGAGUGCACUCGGACGCACCA
rnacentral:tRNA from 1 species